ensembl:lncRNA
CUCUUACUUGGUGUCAGCCACUGUUCUCAGCGCCUUUAAUUUUCCCAACAGCCUUAGAAGGCAGGUACUUUUACCAUCACCGUUUUGUGGAUGGGGAAUGAAAGUUCAGAGAGGUGAGGUGAUGUGCUGAAGGUCACACAGCUCGGAAGUGAUGGAGUGCAGAUUCAAAAGGAGAACUCAUCUGGAGGCCGGAGGAAGUCAGAGGCCCCUUGCAGCCACCAUGUUCUCCACGUGCCUCAGAGAAAUGUCGGCGCCAAGAGGCAGGAAGCAGGAGUUGGGGGAAGUCCAUUGGCCCAGCUAAAGAAAGACAGUGCUGUUUCCAGGGGAGGCACAGGCCCUGGGAUUAAGAAGGGGCAGGAAUAAGGCCUUGGGGCUUUCCAGUCCCUUCCUUGGCCAGGGCCUGGCCCAGUGGCCCAUGAAGGGAACAUUUCUUGGCUAGUGUCUGCAUGUUGGGGGUGGGGUGUGUGAGGCAUGAUGGAACUCUUCUAGUCCAGCAUUUUCCAAACACUUCCCUGGGACUAGACACUCACAUGUGGUCAGAUAAGAGAGGACCAUCUCUCAGAGAUCCAUCAACUCCAUUGGUGGAUUCAAGGCUCUGAUAAGUCCAGCAGUGAGGAGACCUGUUUAUAAUUUAGUUGCAUCCGGAACUUUCUAAAAUUCUGGAUGCCCCUCCCUCUGUUUCUCAGAUGCCUAGUGACAUCUUAAAGCACUCCAUUUGGCAAAUACUGAUCUAGUCCACCUCCUCAUAAGAACAACAAGAGGUGGUAGGACUUGCCCAAGGCCACGCAAUCAGAAGCAGAUUGAGCCAUCCUGACUUGGAACUGUCUAAGCAGGCCCGGCUUUGAGUUUCAGACAUUACCGUGGAGAAGCCGGUGGUCUCAGAUAAGGAAACAAAGCACAGAGAAGUUAUGCAAUGUGCACAGCCUGCUGGUGAGUGGCGGAUCUGGUUGCAGAACUCCUGCCUGGCUCGGGGAGCCCUGGCUGACCUCCUCCGUCAGCACGUGGCCCCAGCGUGUCUCCUGGCCCACCACACCCUCCGGAGCCUCUGAUGUUUACAAUUCUGCCCUGCGAGGCUUUGAACCUACCCCUGCCCGCUGCCUGCCAGGGCUUGUCCUGCCAGCCUGUGUCUGCGUGGCCUUUAUUGAUUUUCUGGCUGGCGGAGCCUGCAAGGAACAUGCUCUCUCUAAUGGAGUGUUAAUUGGGAGGGAAGCGGAGAGAAAGCUUUUCCUCUGCCGCCCUGCUUAGAGGGAGGGAGGGAGCCCCCAGCUCCUGUUUUUUCUUUCCCGGAGCAUUCCCUCUCCCAGGCUGGGAUGUGGUGGCAGGAGCCGUGGGCCCGGAGUCAUGGGUAGGCCCAGACUCUUGCUGCUGCUGACUCACACCGUGACCUUGGACGAGUCCCGCCUGGGCCUCAGCCUCCUCAACUGCAAAAUGGGACACUAGACACCUCUGCUCCUCGCGGCUGGAGUGAGGAUUGCUUGAGAGAAGAAAUAAGACUUUUAGCCCAGCCCUUGGCACCUAGGGUGCUCAAUACAUUAUCCAUUUGCCUCUGGCCUCCCGAUUCCCAGACAGCCUGGGUUUGAAUCCGUGGUGGCCUUGAGGGAGUUACUUUAACAUCUCUGUGCCUCAGUUUCCUCAACUGUAAAAAGAAGAGACAGACAGGACCCAUCUCCUCUGGUUGUAUUGACUGAGAUGCUGCGGGGAAGGCACCUAGCGUGGUCUCUAGCAGACAGUAGGCACUCAAUCAAGGUUAUCAAUUAGUAUCGUUAUAAUGACCACUAUGCCUCAGUUUCCUCCCCUGACAAAGGGAGGCGUUUCUCUUGAAAGCUGCGCUGGUUAUCAACACUAUGAUGGUCCAGCGUGAAACAUGCCCUUCGAGACUGUUGUGAUGCCGGGGUGCAAGGGAGCCCAUCUCUUCCUUGUCUUUGAUUCCUUCUCUGUUUAACUCAUUCUUUACAUUCAACGCCCUCUGUCAAAAUAUCUGACGCUGUUUACCUUUUCCUGCCUGGACUCUGAUUGAUACAGCACCCGAAGGCCCCAGCAGCCGGGUCAGGUUAAGAUUUCCCCUGGAAGCCAGGAGAGGAGUGCUUUUCCAUAAAGAUAACUCCUGUGGGCUGCAUUCCUGAGCCCUGAAGUCACCUGUGUCAUACUGUCACAGCUUCCCCGUAAGGAACUGUCCUCUUGGCUGUUUCCAGGGCUGAUGUCUAUGCCUCCCUCCCCGGGUUCUCUCUCCUUUUUCUCGGCCCCCUACUCACCAGACACCUCCACGUAUCCGUCCUUGGUCUUCACCAUCAGCUCCUCCGGCUUGAAGCUGUGCACGUUGACACACACUUUCCAGGGCUCCCCAGGGAACGGUGGGGGGGUCCUGCCCUCAGCAGGUACCCCAAACCUGGCCGUGGCGGUGGGCCCCCGGGGCACCAUGCCCGACCUCAGGGUCCCCGGCCAGGCCGAGGAGAAUGGAGGCAGUCAAAUUGUCGUGGAAGGGGUCCAUGCCAAAGCCAUCAUCCAGCAGGCGGGAGGAGAGGGGCGAGUCUCGGAAGGGGUCCCGGCGCAGGCGGCCCGUGUAGGGGAAGGGCAUCUGACCAUCAGCCAUGGUGGCCGCUGAGCUGGAGGGGAAGUGGAGGCUCAGAGAACCACAGCCACCUGCCCAAGGUCACACAGCAAGCUGAUGUGGGUGGGCUGGUCUUCCAAACUUAUUCUUCAGCUUCAGAAAAUGCUGAACCAUCCACUGCCAGGGACGGAGGCACACACCAGGCUGGGGUCCUGGGCCCCAGAGACACUCCAGCCACCAAAGGCGACCCCCCGCUGAUCCAGCAGAAUCCCAGAGGGCCCUUAUCCGUACUGCCUCACCAGGGAUCAGCCAGUCUCUGUCCUCGCAGGCCACACAGGCUGGCAGCCAGAGCCGCUGAGGUCUAAAGAGGAGCCAGGAGCUUAAUAAACCCAGGGAGGCAGGCCUAGAAACUUCUCGCUUCUCCUGGGCUGGGAGCUUUCUAUUUAUUGCUGCUGGGGGCUGGAGGCGGGUUUUGCAAGUGGCUCCUGUCACAGGAGUAUUCCGAGGUGAUGAACCAGCCCCAGAGAAUCCGCUGAGGGAACAGCUGUGCUCCAGGGGGCUGGGAGGGGCCCUGGCAGCCAAGUUCAGCCAGCCUCUCUGGGCAGUCUCUCCUCCCCACGCUGGCUCAGCUCCGCCCUCCCACUCCCUUCCCCGGAGCCAUCCUCCCCAGCCAGGGCACUAUUAAUAACCCUCUGCCUGGCCCAGGGCUCAGGUCACCCUCUGGAAAUACCUUCCCCAGAGCGUGCUGCAUCCUGCCUCCCCCCUGGGGACCUGCAGAAGUGGAGGAGGGACAGAUGGGAGCCCCAUAGAUCUGGAGGCAGAUGGCCCUGGGUUGCACUCCCCACUUGCAUGCGCUCAGAGCUCGCCCUCCCCGUCCUUGGGAGAGUAACAUGCCUGCCCUCCCCAUGCAUCCCUGAGCUCUCAGUUUCCCCACCUGCAAAAUGGACGUAAUGGUAGCCUCCUGUGGGCGUGUCCUGAGGAGAACGUGAGGCGAUCUUAAGCCUUUAGCAGACGACACUUCUGUAUUUUCAAUGUUCUCAAUGACGUAAUGUUUGCUGUAUGCCGAGCCCUGUUCUACAGGCUUUACAAAUAUUAACCCCUCCUCACCAACAAUCCCACAAUGUGAACUUACCACUAUCAUCUGCAUUUUACAGACGGGGGAACUGCCAUAGGAAGUGGCACCCAAUAGGAGCUUCUAUUAUUAUUAUGACUGUAAAUAAUGAUGAUUAUCACAACGUGCUGUACCCAGGCAUGGUGUCUAGUCUGGACCUCGAAGCCCAGAGAUGACCUAUUUUCUAGAUUCCCCUGUCACUUGGAGAGCUAAUCUAUAAAGCAGACUUUGAACGAAAGGCCCCUUCAGCUGGGGUUCCAAUCUUUGAUCUGUCCCCAACAGGUGGGCCUCUGGGGGCACGCCAUCCUCCCUCUGUGGGCUUCAGGGUCUCAGCCGGCUUCCUCGUGGGGUGGAGUGGGUUGGGGGUGUUAAGGAAUUCAGUGAGUCAUUGGUUGAGAAAUUGUUUUGAUGUUAAGCAGUGCAUGCAUGAGAAAGUUUUCUAAAAAUAAGAGUCUGGAAAACAACAAGUCACCAUCCUUCACUGCCUGCUGUGUAC